UUUUACGGAGAGUUUUGAUCCUGGCUCAGGAUGAACGCUGGCGGCGUGCUUAACACAUGCAAGUCGAACGGUGAAGCCAAGCUUGCUUGGUGGAUCAGUGGCGAACGGGGUGAGUAACACGUGAGCAACCUGCCCUGGACUCUGGGGAUAAGCGCUGGAAACGGCGUCUAAUACUGGAUAUGAGCCUCUUCCGCAUGGUGGGGGGUUGGAA
rnacentral:rRNA from 1 species